GAAGCGGACGGGGUGAUCGCGGCGCCCUCGCGGCGCACGAGGAAAGUCCGGGCUCCACAGGGCAGGGUGCUGGGUAACGCCCAGCGGGGGUGACCCCAGGGAAAGUGCCACAGAAAACAUACCGCCUCCGUUCGCGGAGGUAAGGGUGAAAAGGCGAGGUAAGAGCUCACCGGGCCGCCGGCGACGGCGGCCGCACGGCAAACCCCACCCGGAGAAAGACCAAAUAGGAGAGAAGAGGCGGCCCGUCUCGUUCGACUCUCGGGUAGGUCGCUCGAGGCCGCCGGCAACGGCGGUCCCAGAUAAAUGAUCACCGCCCUUCCUUCGCCGAAGGGCACAGAACCCGGCUUACAAGUCCGCUUCGCCG
rnacentral:RNase_P_RNA from 1 species